UACGUAGGUGGCAAGCGUUGUCCGGAUUUACUGGGCGUAAAGAGCGCGCAGGCGGUCGUUCAAGUCGCGUGUGAAAGCCCCCGGCUCAACUGGGGAGGGUCACGCGAUACUGAUCGACUGGAAGGCAGGAGAGGAAUGUGGAAUUCCAGGUGUAGCGGUGAAAUGCGUAGAUAUCUGGAGGAACACCGGUGGCGAAGGCGGCAUUCUGGACCGAAACUGAUGCUGAGGCGCGAAAGCCAGGGGAGCAAACGGG
rnacentral:rRNA from 1 species